rnacentral:rRNA from 1 species
CCCUUAGAUGUUCUGGGCCGCACGCGCGCUACACUGAUGCAUUCAACGAGUCUAAAACCUGGUCUGAUAGGGCUGGGUAAUCUUUUGAAAGUGCAUCGUGAUUGGGAUAGAUGAUUGCAAUUCUUCAUCUUCAACGAGGAAUGCCUAGUAAACGCAAGUCAUCAGCUUGCAUUGAUUACGUCCCUGCCCUUUGUACACACCGCCCGUCGCUCCUACCGAUUGAAUGAUCCGAUGAAUACCAUGGAUUGAGAGUUCGAAUAGGUUCGCCUAUUUCUGCUUCUCGGGAAGUGGAGUAAAUCUUAACAUUUAGAGGAAGGAGAAGUCGUAACA